CUACGGGUGGCUCCAGUCGCGAAAACUCCGCAAUGCACGAAAGUGUGACGGGGCUACCCCGAGUGCCAUCCGCUGAGGAUGGCUUUUCUUUGGUAUAACUAGCCAUGGGAAUAAGGAGAGGGCAAGACUGGUGUCAGCCGCCGCGGUAAUACCAGCUCUCCGAGUGGUAGGGAUGAUUAUUGGGCUUAAAGCGUCCGUAGCCGGCUUAGCAAGUUUCCUGUUAAACUCAGCGACUCAAUCGUUGGAUCGCGGGAAAUACUACUAGGCUAGGAGGGGGGAGAGGUCAACGGUACUUCUGGGGUAGGGGUGAAAUCCUAUAAUCCCGGGAGGACCACCAGUGGCGAAGGCUGUUGACUAGAACGCGCUCGACGGUGAGGGACGAAAGCUGGGGUAGCAAACCGGAUUAGAUACCCCCGUAGUC
rnacentral:rRNA from 1 species